rnacentral:ribozyme from 1 species
AGGGAGGAAGUAGUGGAGGAGGGAGGGAAGUAAAUAAGAAGGGAAGUGGAAGGGAAGAGGUGGUACAUAUCACCUCCAUCCAAGCAAGGUGGGGAGUGGCGAUCACAGCUGGAGUAAUCUCCACCUUGCUUUUCGCCCU